GCCUACUUGUCCUCUUUGGUCUUUGACAGGAUGAAGGGGGGAGCCCAAGCAGCGUGUCCCAGUCCUGCUCAUUGCCUGAUUUCACACUUGCAGCUGAGGUCCUCAGAUCGCUGGCUGAAAACCAGAAGGCAGGAUAUGUGGGAAAACAAUAUUGUGAAGCUCUUAAUGUUCCCUUUGAAGAGAGCAUCAGGAUAGACCCCAAUCUUUUCCUGGAUUCUGGUGAACCACAAAAGUAAAAUCUUCAAAGGACCUAUCAAUUUCAGUUAGAAGGUGAACAAAGCAAGUCCAUGGAUAUUUCUGCAAUAUGCAGGUUUAUAUUGCCAAAAGGGACAACAAUGGAAGACUAAAAAAAGGAGAAAAAAAGAAAAUAAAAAAAAA
rnacentral:lncRNA from 1 species